CGGGGACUCCGGCGGCGGGGAGGGCGUGGGGAGUUUCUCCGGCGACACGGAGGGCGGCGGGGAAUUCGCCAGCGGCCCCCGCCUGGGUGCUGCACCCUGCGAGCGGCGCCUCCGGCAGGUGGAACAGAGGGGACCAUCGUGACUUAACCAGCAGGAGGAUGUGAAAGCCAGGCCAUUGCAGCAGUGACAGCGUGGGAUCACAUCCACAGGAUGCACUGGGACCAGAGUGUCCCUGGAGUGAUGAGUGGUACCCCCUGCCAGAGGGGAGGCAGAUGCAAACACAUCUGGAACAUCUCCUUUUGGGGAUACAAACCAGAGGUGUGAAGGGACAGAAGAAAAUCAAGGAAAAGACAAGUGCUGAUUGGGAUUAUUUGGUUUACUGGUAGUGAAUAAAAUACUGAUGGAGAAAAAUCUUCUAAAUACCUGGAAACAAGAAAAGCUGUGCCUGGAAAGAACUUCCAAGCUUUGUCCCAUGAUGAGGGCCAACAGAGACAAAUGAGCUUGUGUGGGCCAGGGGAGAAAUCCAGGACCAAAGUCUUCUGCUGCUUCUCAUCCAAGGUUUCUGCUUCUCUCUGUGUAAAUUCCUCCUCUUUAAUUUGGCAAAGAGGAUGCAGAGUUGCAUUGGCCAAGCCCUUUGGAAGCCAUGUGGAGUAUUAAUAAGGACAGAGUUUUUCCUGUCUUUGGCUAUCAGAUAAAUGGCAAAACACUGGCCUUACAGCAGAGCAUGGCUAUGUUUGGAGGACACUCAGCUGCAUUUCCCUGCCCUGACUGGGGGAUGUUUAAAUGGGGACAGCAUUCUCCCUCCACACCCAUCUUCAGGAGGUCCCAGUGUUUCUGUUGGACCCUCUCUUCCAUUGGCUCAGUCUGCAUCCCCCAAGUGGAGGAAAUGGGAGCCUGAGAUGUGAGCAGCACCUUUGGGAGGUCUGUUCCUUUCGUGAAGAUGCUCGUGGAGCAAAGUGUUGGCUGUACAAGGUUUUCGUGCUGGUGUGUGGAUAGGGAAUUCUCUCCUGGCUGGGAGGAAGAAGCUGGGCUUUGGGAAAUACCCAAGUUUUGGUUGCUGCACCUAUACCAAGUUUGAGCCUGCUGCUUUGCCAAAAUGCAAUUGAUAAUUGAACCUGAUUCCUGAACCAAGUCCUUGUUUCUCCCGAAACACAUCAAGAAUGAAGCUCCUGCAGAAGCCUUGGGCUGUCUGGGGCUCAUCUAUUUCAUCUUCUCUUGCAGCGGGAAAUCUUUUCUUUUAAGUAAUGUUCUUUUCAGAAAUGACUAAUUAAACUACAGAACAGGAAACGUAAGAGACAGUAAAAAUCCCCUCAGCUGUCCAGUGCAUUUCUACGUAAAUAUGGUGGUGAAAUGAUGAAAACAAAACCUUUUGGAGACAAAGACGAAUGAGAGACCUGGUGAGGCAGCGUUGAAAAAUCUAUCGUUUGUUAUAAUAAAGUGAA